UGAAUUGAAGCCCCAGUAAACGGCGGCCGUAACUAUAACGGUCCUAAGGUAGCGAAAUUCCUUGUCAGGUAAGUUCUGACCCGCACGAAAGGCGUAACGAUUUGGGCGCUGUCUCAGCUGUAGACUCGGUGAAGUCUUAGUACCUGUGAAGAUGCAGGUUACCCGCGACUAGACGGAAAGACCCCAUGGAGCUUUACUGUAGCUUGAUAUUGGACUUUGAUGCAAGAUGUACAGGAUAGGUAGGAGACUGAGAGACAUGCACGCCAGUGUGUGAGGAGUCAAUGUUGGGAUACUACUCUUCUUGUAUUGGAGUUCUAACCGGAUGCCAUGGAACUGGCAACGGGACAGUGUCAGGUGGGCAGUUUGACUGGGGCGGUCGCCUCCCAAAGAGUAACGGAGGCGCCCAAAGAUACCCUCAGCUUGGAUGGAAAUCAAGCGCAGAGUGCAAAGGCAUAAGGGUGUUUGACUGCGAGACCUACAAGUCGAGCAGGGACGAAAGUCGGGCUUAGUGAUCCGGCGGUGCUGAAUGGAAAGGCCGUCGCUCAACGGAUAAAAGCUACCCUGGGGAUAACAGGCUGAUCUCCCCCAAGAGUCCACAUCGACGGGGAGGUUUGGCACCUCGAUGUCGGCUCAUCGCAUCCUGGGGCUGAAGUAGGUCCCAAGGGUUGGGCUGUUCGCCCAUUAAAGCGGUACGCGAGCUGGGUUCAGAACGUCGUGAGACAGUUCGGUCCCUAUCUGUCGUGGGCGUAGGAAGUUUGAGAAGAUCUGUCCUCAGUACGAGAGGACCGGGAUGGACAUAUCAAUGGUGCACCAGUUGUCACGCCAGUGGCACAGCUGGGUAGCUAAAUAUGGAAGGGAUAAACGCUGAAGGCAUCUAAGUGUGAAACCCACUUCAAGAUGAGACUUCCCAUUACGCAAGUAAGUAAGACCCCUUAAAGACGAUAAGGUUGAUAGGUCAGGAGUGUAAGCAUGGCGACAUGUUCAGCGGACUGAUACUAAUAGGUCGAGGACUUAACCUA
rnacentral:rRNA from 1 species